rnacentral:rRNA from 1 species
GACGAACGCUGGCGGCGUGCCUAAUACAUGCAAGUCGAACGAACCGCGACUAGGUGCUUGCACUUGGUCAAGGUGAGUGGCGAACGGGUGAGUAACACGUGGGUAACCUACCUCAUAGUGGGGGAUAACAGUCGGAAACGACUGCUAAUACCGCAUAGGACAUAGGAUCACAUGAUCCAGUGAGGAAAGGUGGCGCAAGCUAUCGCCAAGAGAUGGACCCGCGGUGCAUUAGCUAGUUGGUAGGGUAAAGGCCUACCAAGGCGAUGAUGCAUAGCCGACCUGAGAGGGUGAUCGGCCACAUUGGGACUGAGACACGGCCCAAACUCCUACGGGAGGCAGCAGUAGGGAAUCUUCCGCAAUGGACGCAAGUCUGACGGAGCAACGCCGCGUGAGUGAAGAAGGUCUUCGGAUCGUAAAGCUCUGUUGUUAGAGAAGAACAGCGCAUAGAGUAACUGUUAUGCGUGUGACGGUAUCUAACCAGAAAGCCACGGCUAACUACGUG